UACGGAGGGGGCGAGCGUUAUUCGGAAUUAUUGGGCGUAAAGGGCGCGUAGGCGGCUUGAUGUGUCAAAGGUGAAAUCCCUCGGCUCAACUGAGGAACUGCCUUUGAAACUGUCUGGCUUGAGGCCGGGAGAGGGUAGCGGAAUUCCCAGUGUAGCGGUGAAAUGCGUAGAUACUGGGAGGAACACCGGUGGCGAAGGCGGCUACCUGGACCGGUACUGACGCUGAGACGCGAAAGCGUGGGGAGCGAACAGG
rnacentral:rRNA from 1 species